rnacentral:rRNA from 1 species
GACGUUAGCGACAGAAGAAAGCACCGGCUAACUACCGUGCCAGCAGCCGCGGUAAUACGGAGGGUGCGAGCGUUAAUCGGAAUUACUGGGCGUAAAGCGCAUGCAGGUGGUUUGUUAAGUCAGAUGUGAAAGACCCGGGCGUCAACCUCGGAAUAGCAUUUGUAAACUAGGCAGACUAGAGUACUGUAGAGGGGGGUAGGAAUUUCAGGUGUAGCGGUGAAAAUGCGUAGAGAUCUGAAGGAAUACCGGUGGCGAAGGCGGCCCCUCGGACAGAUACUGACACUCAGAUGCGAAAGCGUGGGGAGCAAACAGGAUUAGAUACCCUGGUAG